rnacentral:lncRNA from 10 species
AUCAGUUUAUCUAAAUUUUUGUCAAUUUUGUUGAUUGUUGCAAAGAACCAAUUUUUGGUAUCAUUGACUCUGUCUAUUGUUUUUCUGUUGUCUAUUAUACUUUUUCUUAGUGUGCUAUUUAAAUUCCUUUUUCAAUUGUUUUUAAUUAUAUUUUUGGGAAUAAUUUUAUUAGUGGUUCUUCUGGGGGAAUUACCAAGCUGGAAGCAACAUCAUCAUCAUCAACAGCAACAACAAAGCCCCACAAAAACCCCAUCCAAGGGUCAGUAGCCUCAAAGACUGAAACUAGACAAACUCUCGAAGAUGAGAAAGAAUUAACUUGUUACAACCAGGCCUGGCCUGCAAGAGUUCCUGGAAAAAGCACUAAAUAUGGAAAGGAAAAGCCGGUACCAGCCACUGCAAAAACACACCAAGAUAUAAAGACCAAUGACACUAUGAAGAAACUUCAUCAACUGUAGCCUACUCAUCUAUAUUGCUUCCCAGAGUGCUACUCGACUCUGGAUGCUUCUCUACUGACCCCUCAAAGCAUUUCACACUGUGGGCUCUUAGAUGAUCUCAUAAUGUUAAUUACCUAGAAAGGCUGGAUGAAAUAAUUAUUUUCCUUCAAUGACUAAUGAUAGCUGGUGGAUUUUUAUCGCCUCCCCCAUGAUUUUUUCAGCAAGGAUUCAAAGAGGUUUUGCUUUGUUCUCUCUUUUGUCAGAAAAGGCACUGCUAUUUCCUCUGGCCAGAAAGAAAUGUAUGUUUGUAGCACUUUGUUUCUCCCAUCUGCCUAGCCAAACUGGUCAAAUUAAUGUGCAUCCUUUGAUUUGUCCAGCCCCUUCCCUGAGGCCUGCUCCAAGCCUCCAUUGUCUUUUGUCAAUAGGUACAGAGUGGUGGGUUAGAAAGAGGUUGGUAAAGG